AUUGAACGCUGGCGGAAUGCUUUACACAUGCAAGUCGAACGGCAGCACGGACUUCGGUCUGGUGGCGAGUGGCGAACGGGUGAGUAAUAUAUCGGAACGUGCCCAGUCGUGGGGGAUAACGUAGUGAAAAUUACGCUAAUACCGCAUACGAUCUACGGAUGAAAGCGGGGGAUCGCAAGACCGCGCGCGAUUGGAGCGGCCGAUAUCAGAUUAGGUAGUUGGUGGGGUAAAGGCUCACCAAGCCAACGAUCUGUAGCUGGUCUGAGAGGACGACCAGCCACACUGGGACUGAGACACGGCCCAGACUCCUACGGGAGGCAGCAGUGGGGAAUUUUGGACAAUGGACGCAAGUCUGAUCCAGCCAUUCCGCGUGCAGGACGAAGGCCUUCGGGUUGUAAACUGCUUUUGUACAGAACGAAAAGGUUUCUAUUAAUACUAGGAGCUCAUGACGGUACUGUAAGAAUAAGCACCGGCUAACUACGUGCCAGCCGCCGCGGUAAAAC
rnacentral:rRNA from 1 species